rnacentral:lncRNA from 1 species
AGGAGUCCUGGCUCUUCACGCUGCAUCUGCAGGUGGCCUUGUUCCUCGGUCCCCUGGGGGCUGGCGUGUGCCCACUGCUGCCUGUCGGGCCAGCCUGAGUGGGCUCCGCUCGCUGGCUCCCUGCCUGAUGCAUCUUCCUGCCCCCACCCCCCGUGGGGGCCGGAGAGUUCACUCACUGCUGUGAACCCAGAGGAGCUCCGGCCACCCACCUGAGCCCCCCCCCCACACCUUACACAGGAGUGACGACAGUCCCAGAUCAGUGCCACGCAUGCUCGGUGAACCUAACACCAGUUACGACCGUCUGCAGGUCCUGCAGGUGAGUGAGGAACGCCCAGGCUGUGCAGGGGGUGAAGAGCUGGUAGAAAGACCCUCUUGGAAGAGCAGGGAAGCUGGAGAGGACAGGGGACAAGUGCACACCAGCGCCCGGGACAAGGUGCCCAGGUCACCUCUCCAGCCUGCCCGUCCCCUUGCCCUUGGAAAGAAGGGAGGAGAAGCCAGUCAUGGUCCUCUGACUCUGUUCAAGAAAAGGGUGUGCUGCGGCCNUGUUGAGAGCCACAGCCAAAGGGGCCCCAGCAAACUUCCAGCUGCCAGCAAACUUCCAGCUGCUGGCUGAUGAUUGGCUCACAGCGGCCCCAGCAACAUCUAGCUGAUUGGCUCCUCUGCGGUGAUGCUCAUUGGGCUGUUUCCCUGCCCUUUCAGACCACGGAGCUGCUCAUUGGGGGACUUUUUUGGCUCCACCCACGUGACCCAGCCAAUCGGCCUCAAGAGCAGGAGGAUUGUGGGAGGUGGAGAGAAGCUGGUGGGGGAGAGAGAGGCUUGGGGAAAGCCAGUGGUGGCAGUUGAGGCUCUGAGGGUUUUUCCUGAGAGACUAUUUUGUUUGUCGUGUGUGGUUCUAAAAAUAAAGUUAGUUUCUUUUGACAAGUGGCUCCUGAUUGUGCCCAGCCAGACUGCGGCACACGCCCAUGGUGGCGGACGGUGGCGGAUGGUGGCAGAUGGUGGCGGACGGUGGCCUCUACCCAUGGUGUAAGCCGCUUUCUCCUCUGCGCGUCUGACUUUAUUAUUAAUGUUUCCUAUAGGCACAAACCCCUCCAGGAAGGAGCACUCUAUCCAGGCCUGAGGACCUCUGGAAAAGCCACCUGCAGAGCAUUCAUUUUGUCACCUAUUCAUGAGGGGCUGGUGCAGAGGCCACCAACAUCAAAGGAUCCCAGGAAGGACCAUGACCCCUUUCCCCAAAAAACACGUCUUGGUUAUUGCAGAGCCUCCUGCACCCAGGAGAGCUGCCUGCUCCCCAGCCUUGGUCCCUCUUCUCCCCGCAGAGCACAGACCUUGAGAGGAAGGCUUUCGGGAAUAGUGCGUCUGUCCCUCGGGUACUUGGCCUCCCUGUCAUGGGCCUCAGCCUGGCCCCAACCCCACAGCUGGCUCUGUUCCUGGGUCGUGUGUCAGCAGUGAAGACAGACGGAGCUGAGAGAGCAAGAAGCCAUGCCCCCGGACAGGGUGCGGCUCCACGACCCGCCCUUUCCAGAUUCCCAAUCCUGGAUCCUGCCGAGCUUUGCUCCCAGGCCUUCACCUUAAGAUGGGAGCUUGAUUUAGUGCUAAUAAUGGCAACUGUCUAAACCAAGGGAGUCCUGACUUUAAUUAAAAUGACAAGGAAGGCAGGCGGGAGCUGAGUUAUGGGGUCGCUGUUUUCCUAUAGCCCAGGAUGGGGAGGAGUGGGGUGGGCCGUCCCCGCGCCCCCACACCGCCUGCUCUGGAGCCCAGGCUCUGCAGUGACAUCUCCAGCGACCCGCGCCUGCCUGGCCACUUCCUCCCUCUGGAGUCUGUCCCUCCCUUCUGUGGUGGCUGGUCUUCUCCAGAACCCUUUAGAGUCACGGCCCCCCGCAGACGAAAGCCUGCGCUCCACUUGGCUGUGCUCACUGUGGGCCGACUCGCGUCUCCCCUCCGUGUGUUGGAGUCCUCGCUCCACCAGCUCAGAAGGCGACCAUCACCAGGAGCGAGGCGCUUGAGGAGGUCUUUGGGGUAGACCCUGAUCCAAUAGGGCUGGCGUCUUCAGAACGAGGGAAUCUGGGGCAGAGAGCCCUGGGAGGAGCACCGGGGAGGAUGGAGGGACAGCAGGCCUGCGAGGAGCCAGGGGGCGCCACGGCUGGCCAGGGAGAGGGCCUCAGGAGGAGCUGCCCUGCCUCACCUGGUCUGGACCCGAGUCCCUGGGCUGCUGGGACGCGAGCUGCUCUGGGCUGCCCCACAGGCUCCGGCUCCUGGCCCUGAGCAGGCCCUGUGCCCUGCCCACCUGCCCUCCCAGCCUCGUGCGUGAAGCCUGGGUGCACUUGGGCACCUGCUGCGCUCUUGUUUGGGCUGUGAUGGGGUCCAGUGGGGUCUGUGGGACACCAGGAC